GCUGGGCACAAUCAGGAGCCACUUGUCAAAAGAAACUAACUUUAUUUUUAGAACCACACACGCCAAACAAAACAGCCUCUCAGGAAAAACCCUCAGAGCCUCAACUGCCACCACCGGCUUUCCACAAGCCUCUCUCUCCCCCACAAGCUUCUCUCCACCUCCCACAAUCCUCCUGCUCUUGAGGCCGAUUGGCUGGGUCACAUGGGCGGAGCCAAAAAAGUCCCCCAAUGAGCAGCUCCGUGGUCUGAAAGGGCAGGGAAACAGCCCAAUGAGCAUCACCGCAGAGGAGCCAAUCAGCUAGAUGUUGCUGGGGCCGCUGUGAGCCAAUCAUCAGCCGGCAGCUGGAAGUUUGCUGGGGCUCCUUCGCUGUGGCUCUCAACACCUAGGCUGAGGAAAGUGUGUUAUGGGUUGAUCAAGGUAGUGUGGCAGCAGUAGAAAAACAACCACAAGCAUCAUCCUAGUAUAGUUUAGAUUAAGAGUUUUCAAAACAGGUUAAAUAUUUAUCAGUAUGGAAAUGGUUAUUGAAAUUACAAGGUCAUGCUAUAUAGCCAUUUAAGAAAAUGUUCUAAAUGAAGUAUUGUUGACAGAAAGAUUAAAAAGGAAUUCUUUUAAAUGUUGUGUUUUCCAUGAUUGAAUUUUCGUAAAAACAGAACGAAUAUGCACAUAAAAGCAUUUGGGAAUUGUAUAGUUGUAAACCCUUAACCAAGAUUCCAAUAGUAACUAAGGACAAGAUAGCAAUAUGACAGGGAAAAACAUCUAGAUGAGGUGUUAUUUGUUGGUAACAUGGCUCAAAAGGCCACUCUGCUAAUGCUAAUGAACUUCAACAUGGAAAGCCAGCCAUGUUGAAGGCCAGAUCAUCAGAGGAAUUGAAGAAGCAGAUGAAGACCAGGGGGAGGCACGGGAGACACAUUGUGCUUCUAAAGGUUAUGGGUGAAGCUAGAUUAUUUUUUUCAAUGAUUGCCAAAAAAAAAAAAAAGAAAGAAAGAAAGAAAGAAAAAGCUAUUUGCCAAGCUGGCACUGGUGUCAGAUGAACAGAGGGUCUCUCCAUUCUGUUAUUUCCCUGGCAGUUGAAACAUCCUCUGGCUCAGCUGUUUAAUGUGUAAAUUUAGUGCCCCAUGGGACAUUCUCCAUAAGGCAGCAGCUACCCAAGUAUAAUAAAUUCAGUGUCA
rnacentral:lncRNA from 1 species